rnacentral:rRNA from 1 species
GACAGAGGAUGCAAGCGUUAUCCGGAAUGAUUGGGCGUAAAGCGUCUGUAGGUGGCUUUUUAAGUCUGCCGUCAAAUCCCAGGACUUAACCCUGGACAGGCGGUGGAAACUACCAAGCUGGAGUACGGUAGGGGCAGGGGGAAUUUCCGGUGGAGCGGUGAAAUGCGUAGAGAUCGGAAAGAACACCAACGGCGAAAGCACUCUGCUGGGCCGACACUGACACUGAGAGACGAAAGCUAGGGGAGCGAAUGGG